GAUGAACGCUAGCGGCAGGCCUAACACAUGCAAGUCGAGGGGCAGCACAGAAACAGCAAUGUUUUGGUGGCGACCGGCGGACGGGUGCGUAACGCGUAUGCAACCUACCUUUAACAGGGGGAUAACGGAGAGAAAUUUCCACUAAUACCCCAUAACAUCGAUCAAGGCAUCUUGAUUGGUUGAAAACUCCGGUGGUUAAAGAUGGGCAUGCGUUGUAUUAGGUAGUUGGUGAGGUAAUGGCUCACAAAGCCUACGAUACAUAGGGGGACUGAGAGGUUAGCCCCCCACACUGGUACUGAGACACGGACCAGACUCCUACGGGAGGCAGCAGUGAGGAAUAUUGGUCAAUGGGGGCAACCCUGAACCAGCCAUGCCGCGUGCAGGAAGACGGCUCUAUGAGUUGUAAACUGCUUUUAAACAGGGAUAAAGCACAGUAUGUAUACUGUGUUGAAGGUACUGUAAGAAUAAGGAUCGGCUAACUCCGUGCCAGCAGCCGCCGUUA
rnacentral:rRNA from 1 species